AAUCAACGCUGGCGGCGUGCCUCAGACAUGCAAGUCGAACGCGAAAGUUCCCUUCGGGGGAGUGAGUAGAGUGGCGCACGGGUGAGUAACACGUAGGUAAUCUACCUUUGGUAUGGGGAAGUAACAACCGGAAACGGUUAGCUAAUACCGCAUAAUGCAGCGGCACCUAAUGGUGACAGUUGUUAAAGCGGGGGAGUCGAAAGACCUCGCGUCUGAAGAGGAGCCUGCGGCGGAUUA
rnacentral:rRNA from 1 species